GAUGAACGCUGACAGAAUGCUUAACACAUGCAAGUCAACUUGAACUUCGGUUUGGGUGGCGGACGGGUGAGUAACGCGUAAAGAACUUGCCUCACAGCUAGGGACAACAUUUGGAAACGAAUGCUAAUACCUGAUAUUAUGAUUAUAUGGCAUCGUAUAAUUAUGAAAGCUAUAUGCGCUGUGAGAGAGCUUUGCGUCCCAUUAGCUAGUUGGAGAGGUAACAGCUCACCAAGGCGAUGAUGGGUAGCCGGCCUGAGAGGGUGAUCGGCCACAAGGGGACUGAGACACGGCCCUUACUCCUACGGGAGGCAGCAGUGGGGAAUAUUGGACAGUGGACCGAGAGUCUGAUCCAGCAAUUCUGUGUGCACGAUGAAGUUUUUCGGAAUGUAAAGUGCUUUCAGUUGGGAAGAAAAAAAUGACGGUACCAACAGAAGAAGUGACGGCUAAAUACGUG
rnacentral:rRNA from 1 species